GUGUUCACUUUGGCAGCAUAUAUACUAAAAUUGGAUCGAUACAGAGAAGAUCAGCAUGGACCCUGCACAAAGAUGACAUGCAAAUUCGUGAAGCAUUCCAUAUUUUU